UAGAGUAAUGCGUGACCAACCUGCCCCAUGCUCCAGAAUAGCUCUUGGAAACGGGUGGUAAUGCUGAAUGCUCCAACUUGACGCAUGUCUUGUUGGGAAAGUGUUUAGUGGCAUGGGAUGGGGUCGCGUCCUAUCAGCUUGUAGGCGGGGUAAUGGCCCACCUAGGCUUCGACGGGUAGCCGGCCAGAGAGGGCGGACGGCCACAUUGGGACUGAGAUACGGCCCAGACUCCUACGGGAGGCAGCAGUG
rnacentral:rRNA from 1 species